GAGCACGUAGGUGGGUUUGUAAGUCAGAUGUGAAAGCCUUCUGUUCAACGGAAGAAUUGCAUCUGAAACUGCGAGUCUUGAGUGUAGGAGGGGAGAAUGGAACUUCCGGUGGAGCGGUGAAAUGCGUAGAUAUCAGAAGGAACGCCGGCGGCGAAAGCGAUUCUCUGGCCUAUUACUGACACUCAGUGUGCGAAAGCUAGGGGAGCAAACGGGAUUAGAUACCCCGGUAGUCCUAGCCGUAAACGAUGGGCACUAAGUAGAGGGGUUUU
rnacentral:rRNA from 1 species